AUUCUGCCCAAGCGGGGAAGGAUGAGAAGCUUCGACCAAGGUUCGACUUGAGCGCCAGCGAGAGAGCGUUGCCGCAGGCAACGACCCGAAGGGCGAAGCG
rnacentral:sRNA from 1 species